rnacentral:rRNA from 1 species
GAUGAACGCUGGCGGCGUGCCUAAUACAUGCAAGUCGAGCGAACGGACGAGAAGCUUGCUUCUCUGAUGUUAGCGGCGGACGGGUGAGUAACACGUGGAUAACCUACCUAUAAGACUGGGAUAACUUCGGGAAACCGGAGCUAAUACCGGAUGAUAUUUUGAACCGCAUGGUUCAAAAGUGAAAGACGGUCUUGCUGUCACUUAUAGAUGGAUCCGCGCUGCAUUAGCUAGUUGGUAAGGUAACGGCCUACCAAGGCAACGAUGCAUAGCCGACCUGAGAGGGUGAUCGGCCACACUGGAACUGAGACACGGUCCAGACUCCUACGGGAGGCAGCAGUAGGGAAUCUUCCGCAAUGGGCGAAAGCCUGACGGAGCAACGCCGCGUGAGUGAUGAAGGUCUUCGGAUCGUAAAACUCUGUCAUUAGGGAAGAACAUAUGUGUAAGUAACUGUGCACAUCUUGACGGUACCUAAUCAGAAAGCCACGGCUAACUACGUG